GCCCUGUUAGCUCAGUUGGUAGGGCUUGAGACUCUUGAUCUCAGAGUCCUGGGUUUGAGCCCCAUGUUGUGUU
rnacentral:tRNA from 1 species